UACAGGGGGUGCAAACGUUGUUCGGAUUUACUGGGCGUAAAGCGCGUGUAGGCUGCUUCGCAAGUCGGAUGUGAAAGCCCUGGGCUCAACCCAGGAAGUGCAUUCGAAACUGCAGAGCUGGAGUCCUGGAGAGGAAGGCGGAAUUCUCGGUGUAGAGGUGAAAUUCGUAGAUAUCGAGAGGAACACCGGUGGCGAAGGCGGCCUUCUGGACAGUGACUGACGCUGAGACGCGAAAGCGUGGGGAGCAAACAGG
rnacentral:rRNA from 1 species